AACGACCGGCCGGACACCUGUGUGCCCGGCCCACAAGUGGAGGCUCCGAUCUCCCACCUGGCUAUCCUCACCGGACGGCGGGUCACCGGUCAGACGGUCCCCAUCGUUCCGUACGGACGAUGGAACCGUCCGAUGCGCCCCGCGGCUGACCGCGGCGGUGCUCCGGUAGUUCCUGGAGCCUCGCCUGUGUCCCGUCCCGGGGCUUUUUUG
rnacentral:ncRNA from 1 species